GGCGUGCGCGGCGGAGCGCCGGGGCGGGGGCACAGCCGGCCCCCAAUCGCGCACAAUGAGACAGCGCUGAGCGCCGGAAGUGGGACCGAAGGAAAACUCGGAGAGGGAGCCCAGCCGGGACAGGAAGAGGCGGGGGACCGCGGCGGAGGUGGUGCAAAGAAAGAAAAUUGAAGUCAAAGACCAUGGGAGAUGCAGCAAAACCUUAUAUUGUGAAGCGCAGUAAAGAUCGAGGACCUGUUGAUGAUGAUGAUUUCAGAAGGGGUCACCCCCAACAAGAUUAUUUAAUAAUGGAUGAUUAUGCUAAAGGCCAUAGCAGUGAAAUGGAAAAAGGCCUUCCGAAAAAAAAGCUAACUCCUGGGAACUAUGGGAAUACCGCGAGAAAAGGAUCAUACGCUGUUUCCAGCAAUCCAUAUGCAUUUAAAAACCCAAUUUACAGUCAGCCCACUUGGAUGAAUGACAACCACAAAGAUCAGAAUAAGAGGUGGCUAUCUGAUGAACUUACUGGUAAUUCAGACAAUUGGAGAGAGUUUAAACCUGGACCUAGAAUUCCUAUCAUAAGCAGACCAAGGAAAGAUGCCUUUCAAGAAAGUGAAGAUGGUUACAGGUGGCAAGAUGGAAGAGGCUGCAGAACUGUAAGAAGACUGUUUCAUAAAGACCUAACAAGCCUAGAGGCCAUGUCAGAAAUGGAAGCAGGAAGUCCUGAAAACAAGAAGCAGCGGUCCAGACCCAGGAAACCAAGGAGGACUAGAAAUGAGGAAAAUGAACAGGAUGGAGAGUUGGAAGGCCCUGUGAUUGACGAGUCUGUGCUUUCGACAAAGGAGCUACUGGGCUUACAGCAGGCUGAGGAGCGUUUGAGGAGAGACUGCAUUGACAGACUAAAAAGGCGACCACGAAACUGCCCUACAGCAAAAUACACCUGCAAACUCUGUGAUGUUUUAAUUGAAUCCAUUGCAUUUGCUCAUAAGCAUAUCAAAGAGAAGAGGCACAAGAAAAACAUUAAGGAGAAGCAGGAGGAAGAGUUGCUCACUACGUUACCCCCGCCAACACCCUCCCAGAUAAAUGCAAUUGGCAUUGCCAUUGACAAAGUGGUACAGGAGUUUGGCUUACACAAUGAGAAUUUGGAACAGAGGCUAGAAAUCAAAUGUAUCAUGGAAAAUGUGUUCCAGCACAAGUUACCAGAUUGUUCUCUAAGAUUAUAUGGGUCUUCCUGUAGCAGAUUGGGUUUCAAAAAUUCGGAUGUAAACAUUGACAUUCAAUUUCCAGCCAUUAUGUCUCAGCCAGAUGUCCUCUUAAUUGUUCAAGAAUGUUUAAAGAACAGUGACUCCUUUAUUGAUGUUGACGCAGAUUUCCAUGCAAGGGUACCGGUGGUAGUAUGCAGAGAAAAGCAAAGUGGUCUUCUUUGUAAAGUGAGUGCAGGAAAUGAAAAUGCUUGUCUGACAACAAAGCACUUAACUGCACUCGGAAAACUAGAACCAAAGCUGGUUCCUUUGGUGAUUGCAUUUAGGUACUGGGCAAAGCUUUGCAGUAUAGAUCGCCCUGAGGAAGGAGGCCUGCCACCUUACGUGUUUGCCCUUAUGGCCAUUUAUUUUCUUCAACAGAGGAAAGAACCUCUUCUGCCAGUUUAUCUAGGCUCAUGGAUUGAAGGAUUCUCAUUAAACAAACUUACGAACUUCAACCUUAAAGACGUUGAGAAAGAUUUUGUGGUCUGGGAAUACACUGAUAAUGUUGGGGAUACAAACACAGCAAAAGAAGAGUCACCAAAAGAAAGGCCAAUUAAAAGGGGGCAGGUAUCAUUAAUAUUUGAUACAAAACACCAGCCUUCAGUACCAGUUGGGCAGCUCUGGGUGGAACUGCUGCGAUUCUAUGCUUUAGAAUUUAAUUUGGCUGAUUUAGUGAUCAGUAUCCGUGUCAAAGAAUCAAUAUCUCGAGAAUCAAAGGAUUGGCCCAAAAAGCGCAUUGCCAUUGAAGAUCCCUACUCUGUUAAAAGAAAUGUGGCAAGGACCCUAAAUAAUCAACCUGUGUUUGAAUAUAUACUUCACUGUUUAAGAACGACAUAUAAAUAUUUUGCUCUUCCACACAAACUUGCAAAAUCCAGCCUUCCAAAGCCUCUGAGCACAGUUACGUGUAUUUCAGAACAUUUUAAAGAAGUAAUAAAUCAUGAUCCAGAUGUGCAAACAAAAGACGAUAAGCUCAACAAUUCAGUUUUGGCUCAAGGCCCUGGUGCUACUACCAUUUCAACUGAAAAUGCUUGCAAGGCACAGCCACUUUCUCUUAAAGAGACUGCUGAAAGCUGUGGAAGCCCACCAGCUGAGGAAAUUGGAAAUGUACACAUCAGGAAAUGCACACAUUUAGGAAACUCUGGCUGUAUCCAGGCAGAAGUCAAUUGUGAUAAUUAUGAGGAUAUUAAAGUACACCAUCAAGAAACAGGAAGUAAAGAUGAGAAAGAGAAAAUCAGAAAGAAGGGAAAGCAUCCUUUGACUGCUGAUGACCCCAGUAUAAGCAGUAAUGAGUGUGGAGAACUUACAAUUGGCAGCAGCCCAUGUAAUUAUGAGACAGAUAGCAUUUUGAAUUUAGAAGGCCUCCAAAAUCCUACAGCCAAAGUGUGUGAUGGAUUUGCUACUUUUGAUGACAAGAUUGAUCUUGAUGAAGAAAGUGUAGAAGGUACUGAUGAGCUAGAAGACUCUUUAAACCACUUUGUCCCUUUAGUCCAGUGUCAAACAUCUGAAAUCAUUCACUUUGAUGAAGAAGAGGAGGAAGAUGAAGAGGAGGAGGAAGAACCCAGGCUCACCAUUAACCAAAGGGAAGAUGAGGAUGGCAUUGCUAAUGAAGAUGAGCUGGACAAUACCUAUACUGGAUCAGGUGAUGAAGAUGCUCUUUCUGAAGAGGAUGAUGAAUUAGUUCAGCCGGCUAAAUAUGAAGACUUGAAAGAAUGUGAAAAAAAUGUAGAUGGCGCCCUACUUACGGAACUUAAUAAAAUAAAUCUUAAAGAAGAAAAUAUAUGUGAGGAAAAUUCACCAGUGGACCAGUCUGAUUUCUUCUAUGAAUUUAGUAAACUUAUCUUCACCAAAGGCAAGUCUCCCACAGUUGUGUGCAGCUUGUGCAAACGAGAGGGUCAUCUAAAGAAGGACUGUCCUGAAGACUUCAAAAGAAUCCAGCUGGAACCUUUGCCACCACUAACACCCAAGUUUUCAAAUAUCUUAGAUCAAGUUUGUUUCCAGUGUUACAAGGAUUUUUCUCCAACUGUUUUAGAAGAUCAGGCUCGUGAACAUAUCCGGCAAAACUUAGAAAGUUUCAUAAAACAGGACUUUCCAGGAACUAAAUUGAGCUUGUUUGGCUCCUCCAAAAAUGGAUUUGGUUUUAAGCAGAGUGACCUUGACGUCUGCAUGACAAUUAACGGACAUGAAACUGCUGAGGGGUUGGACUGUGUAAGAACUAUUGAAGAAUUGGCAAGAGUCCUUAGAAAACAUUCAGGUCUGAGAAACAUCUUACCUAUUACAACAGCAAAGGUGCCAAUUGUGAAGUUCUUCCAUUCAAGAAGUGGUCUGGAAGUAGAUAUCAGUUUGUAUAACACAUUGGCCCUUCAUAACACAAGGCUUUUAUCUGCUUACUCAACCAUUGAUCCCAGAGUGAAAUAUCUGUGCUAUACCAUGAAAGUAUUUACAAAGAUGUGUGAUAUUGGUGAUGCAUCUAGAGGCAGCUUAUCAUCAUAUGCAUACACUCUUAUGGUGCUAUAUUUCCUCCAGCAGAGGAAUCCGCCAGUCAUUCCUGUUCUUCAAGAGAUAUACAAAGGUGAAAAGAAACCUGAAAUAUUUGUUGAUGGCUGGAAUAUUUAUUUUUUUGAUCAAAUAGAUGAACUGCCUAUCUAUUGGCCAGAAUAUGGAAAAAAUACAGAAUCUGUUGGGCAACUGUGGUUGGGACUUCUUCGUUUCUACACAGAGGAAUUUGAUUUUAAAGAACAUGUUAUUAGCAUCAGGAGAAGAAGUCUGCUUACAACAUUUAAGAAACAGUGGACUUCAAAAUACAUUGUUAUUGAAGAUCCCUUUGAUCUAAAUCAUAAUCUUGGAGCCGGAUUAUCAAGGAAAAUGACAAAUUUUAUAAUGAAAGCUUUUAUCAAUGGUAGAAGAGUAUUUGGAAUUCCAGUCAAAGGAUUACCAAAGGAUUAUCCCUCAAAAAUGGAAUACUUUUUUGAUCCAGAUGUACUAACUGAAGGAGAGCUGGCCCCAAAUGAUAGAUGUUGCAGAAUUUGUGGGAAAAUUGGACACUUCAUGAAAGAUUGUCCCAUGAGAAGAAAAGUGAGGCGACGGCGAGAUCAGGAAGAUACCCUGAACCAAAGAUUCCCUGAGAACAAGGAAAAAAGAAGCAAAGAGGACAAAGAAAUUCAAAACAAGUACACAGAAAGAGAGGUAUCAACAAAAGAAGACAAACCCACACAGGGUGCAGCUCAGAAAGCCAAGCCAAUGAGGGCAGCUGUUGACCUGGGCAGGGAAAAGAUUCUCAGGCCACCCAUGGAAAAAUGGAAGAGACAAGAUGACAAAGACUUAAGGGAAAAACGUUGUUUCAUUUGUGGAAGAGAAGGGCACAUUAAGAAGGAAUGUCCACAGUUUAAAGGCUCUCCAGGUAUAACUAAGUCAGAUUGUGUGUUUGGAUCCCCUUCUUCACCUAGCCCUUUGAGACCAGCUGGUACAUUUGUUCAGGCAGUGCUUUUACAUGAAGACAAAAAGAAACAAAAAACAACAAUAUUUUUGAGUCCCCAGUCAGCCCCCAAACCCAAUAGGCAGAAGAAAAGUGAGAAUGGGGCCUACUGUGAGGCAGGUUGAUUGAUCAACAGAAACGUGAAAGAUGGGUGAGAAGACUGAUGGGCUGGAUCACAACCAGGCAGACCUUGGAAAGACACCACCAGAGGGAAGGGUGUGGGAAACAGACUCAACCAGUUGAUGGGACUUUUUUUCCCAUGGAUCCUCUGAGAGUUUGAGGAUCAGGGAGAUUCCAUGUGUAAACAAGCAAACGGAAUGUUAUUUUUAUAAUUGUUAGCCCUGAGCAGAUGUUUCCAAAAACAUUUUACAUAGGAAAAAUACCAGUCCUUGCUUGGUCAAAAUGUUCACAUUGGCUAGAAUUAGAGAGCACAGUGUUUAAAAACAUUGGUUCUGCAGUCAGAUUCCCUGGUUUGAGUCCUAGCUUUGUGAUGUUGAGAAACCUGUUUAUUCAGUGUCCUCAUCUGUGAAAAGGGGGUAUCAUAAUAUCUGACAGGUAAGGAUAUUGAGAAGUCUAUGUAAAAGCACAUGAAACAGCAUCUAUAUAUAGUGAAAGCAUGGAAAAGGUUCAUGGUGAUGAUUGCAUUGACACCAUUUUUGUGAGGUAUCACCAGGUCUGCAGGUGCCAGCAUUAUUCCUACUAAAGCUAAUAUACAUCUUGUGCUGGGCACUGUGUCAUAUGCCUAUAAUCUCAAAUGACUAGGGAGGCUGAGGCAGAACGAUCACAAGUUCCUAGUCUAGCCUGGGCAACUUAAAGAGACUCUGUCUCAAACUAAAAAAGACUGGGAAUGUAACUCAGUAAUAGAGUACCCUGGGUUCAAUCCCCAGCCCCAUCCCACCCCACCCCACCCCCGUAAAAAGCUUCACACAUCUUAAAAGUAAAAUUUUACCCCUAUUUUAUAAUAUUUUUAAUGGUUGGGGGGAGACACAGAUGAUAGAGAAAUAGAAAUGACAUUGUCAGUUGACAAUAAUUUAGGGUUUCUUCUGGUUUAAAUUAAUAAAUCUUUGAGCUACUGAAAUAACUUACCAACUUAAAUUUAUUACAGAAAAAAAAAUUUAUAGGUGGUUAAAAUGCAUUCUUUCCAAUAAGUUGUACUCUUUGAGUAAGUAUAAGGCAGCUGUGAUGCUGUUGUAUUUUCUCAGGAUAAGUUUUUGUAAAUUAUUUAUGUUGUUACAAAGGUGAACUAUGUUUCAAUUAUAAAUAGAAUUAAUUUCCCCAAAGCACUUCUUUUUCAUAGUUCAAGUAUAUCUGAGACACUCUAGUAGUUUCCUAAAGAGCAUAUCUCAGUAUAGACAGCUUUUGCUCUCACACAUUAGCUGUGUGGACCUUGGUUAAAAAAUUAGUUUCUCUGGGACUGGGGUUGUGGCUUAGCAGUAGAGUACUUGCCUAGCAAGGCCCUGGGUUCAAUCCUCAGCACCACAUAAAAAUAAAUAAAUAAAAUAAAAAGGUAUUAUGUCCAACAAUAACUAAAUAAUAAAUAUUUUUUUAAAGGAGAGAGAGAAAAUCUUUUUUUUUUUUUUUUUUGUAGAUGGACAUAACACAAUGCCUUUAUUUUUUUAUGUGGUGAUGAGAAUCGAACCGGGGUCCCACCCAUGCUAGGCAAGCGCUUUAUUGCUGAGCCACAAUCCCAGCCCCAAUAAAUAUUUUUUAAAAAAUUAGUUUCUCUGAGCUCCAGAUGUCUUAUCAAAUUGGCACCAUCUAUCUCACAGGGUGCUAAGAAGAUUAAAGUACCCACCAAUACCAAGCACCCCAUCAAGUUCUUUCUUCUCCUGGUACCAGGCUCCUGUCCUUUCCAUUAGGCUAUUUAUAGAAUUAUUAACUCCCUAAUAAAAUAAUAAUGGAUAGAAUGUUCUGGAAAUUUCCUUGCUGUUUGAUAUUACUUCUCUCUGCCACAUGCAGACACCUAGCACAAUACCUUAAAUAUUCAGGCCCAAAUGGGGCAGCAGUGAAAAACAUAAAUUUGAGAGUCAGGCAUUUGAGUUAAAAUCUAGCCCAACUAUUUACUAGUUGUGUGACAUCUGUCUGGUUCUCCAAGCUCCCUGUGCCUCAGUUUCCUGAUCAGUUAGUUGGGGCUAACACCCCACAGGACCAUGGUGAGGAUUAACUUCAUUUAGAUAAAAUACCUAACAGAGCCUCAGAUCUAUUUCAACAGUCAGUAAAUUAUAGUCAGCAAAUUAUUUGUUGUUGUCUUUAACCGUCUACAUUCUGCCACAACUUGUCUUUUAAACCUAUAGGGCAAAUAAGCCCUGGGAUUUCUGUGGAGUUGUUUUUGUUUGUGGGGUUUUUUAUGUUUGUUGUUGUUGUUUUGGUUUGGUUUUUUGUUUUGUUUUGGUUUUGAUACUGGGAAGUGAACCCGGGGUACUUUACCACUGAGCUACAUAUUUACCCUUUUUAUUUUUUAUUUCAAGAUAGGGUCUUGUUAAGUUCCUGAGGCUAACUUUGAAUUAUGCAACACCACACCCAGCUCACACUGGAAAUUUUUUAAGAGUAUGUGGGGCCAGGCACAGUGGGGCACACUUGUAAUCCCAGCAUCUUGGGAGGCUGAGGCAGGAGGAUUGAGAGUUCAAAGCAGUUCUGCAAGACCCUGUCUCUAAAUAAAAUAUUAAAAAAGGGCUGGAGAUGCUCGGUCGUUGAGCAGCCCAGGGUUCAAUCCCUGAUACCAAAAAAGAAAAGAAAGAAAGCAGAGUAUAUGAAGUUUGCAUGCAGUACCAGUCAUAAUUGAUUUUUAUUCCUAAUAACUGAUUUGCAUAUAACAAUUUAGUAUGAGAAUCUCAGAAAAUUAAGUUUUUCAUUUCUGAAUCAUCUUCCUGCAUCCUUUUUUAAAACAAAAAUGAACAGAAAAUCAGUACUUCUGUCUUUUCAUGUAUUCCCUUUUAAUCCCAUGCUGUGAAAUCUUAAAAAUUGUAAAUGCUGCAAGACAUUGGUAAAUAUCUUUUCUCAUAUUGAUGUAUAAACGGCUUUUAUCAUUGAGCAGAAUUUUAAAGCCUACCCAUUAAAAAAAAAUAAUAAAAAAGCAUUCCUCCUUAUGAUAAUAAAUUUAAAAUAGAAAUAGUUUUACAAAUAACAUGGGAAGAACUCAUUGUCAGUGAAUAUAGAUCAUUCUUUGAUACCUUUUCUUAAUAUUCCAGUCUACAAAUAUAUCAUUAUGUAUUUAAUUGUUCCUAUUGAUUAAUCUCAUACUUAAUCUAUAAUAAAAACAUUUAUAUAAAUUGGAUUUUAAAGCUUUUUGUUAAAUCUUAAAGUGUAAAAAUUUCUACAUUGAGUUUUUACAAUUUCAGGCUAUAUCAUUGAUCAUGUAACAAAUGUUACAUAUUUUGAUUAAAAUUUACAUUUUAUGUUUACUUACUGAUGAAAAUUACUUUCAUUAAAUGAGGUAUUUAUGAAAUAUUUCCCCAUGCAUUCAUGUAUCUUUAGAUCAGUGCUACUUAUUGCGUGAGUGAAAGUAGUUUUUUAUCAUUUCUAAUCCUAAACUUUUUUGUUUGUAUAAAUUGUGAAAGUUCAUUAGGCUUUAUAGUAAUAAAUUAAAAUAAUAAAUUACUUUAAGAGUUUGGAAAUGGAAGCUGUAUUUUAAUUAACAAUGACAUCCAAUUAUUUAAUUCCUUCUUAAUUAUAUGACCAAAAAUUAUAUAGGGAUAUGUCAUCAAAAAUUAUUUGUAUUGGUCAUCCAGUAUCAAUGUAAUUUUUUUUUAAUUUUCCAUAUAAAUAAGACUUAUUUUCUGCUUUUUCUACAAGAACACAUCUUAUAGAUCUUUCAGUUUCACUGCACAGAGACCCAGUUCACCCGCUAUCAAUGUAAUUUUAUAAAAGCUGAAAAUUGGUGUUUUUAUUAGAAGCAUUCACAUUUACUAUAGCUAUAUCAGCAUUUUGUUUGCCUCCUUUCCUCCUCACAAUGUUACUAUGAAAAGGCUGUAAAGUACUAUGAAAAAACACUGAAUAACACAGUACACAGGUUCAGAGUUAAGUUUCAGUUUGCUGUAGUAACAGAGUGAACAGUGCAUCUUUUAAGAGACAUUCUCAGACUCCUGUCUUGAAAAAGUCUAUGUAUAUAUACUCCAUAUAAGAGGCCAAGUUUUUUUCACCUCUGGGAAAUGCACCACAGUAAGAUUUGGAUAGUUAGGAGAUUUAUGCCUUUCUUUUGUGAAGUGGAAAAGGAAUAAUUGUGAAAGGGGUGUUGGAAAAAGAAGUGGGAAAGCUGGAAAUUGGCUCAUUUUUUAUUCUAUUUUGUUUAUUUUUUCUUUUUAGUUAUAUAUGACAGUAGAAUGUAUUUGACAUAUAUACAAUGGAGUAUAACUUCCCAUUCUUGUGGUUAUAUAUGAUAUAGAAUUACACUGGUCUUGUAUUCAUAUAUGAAUAUAUUAACAUUAUGUCUGAUUCAUUCUAUUGUCUUUCCCAUUCCUAUCCCUGCCCCCCAUCCCCUGGAAAUAGGCUUUCUUAAAACUAUCCUUACCUACAUGCCCUGUCAAGUAGGCUGAGAACACAUGGACACCUGUUUAUGUAACACUAUAAUGAAUGUUUGUGUAUUUGCCUAUUUGUCAGGAUAAAUCCUCACUUAUGGUAGAUUAGAGUGUGUACAUUUUGACCAUGAUGCCACUACUGUCAAUCUAUAACUGUUGACAAUCCCAGAGAGUUAAUGAAUAAUUCUUCUCAAACACUGACUUCAUGGGGAUAGUCUUUAUAUUUUACCAAUCUGAAUUUCUGUGAUAACCAUUGAAAUCUUAACAUUUUUCACAUUUUCAUUACAUCUUCUUAUUUAUGGAUUUGUAUUUUUAUAUCACAGUAUUCAUUUCUAUUUUUAGGAGCAUCUUUUGCACAGGAGUUCAUUCACACUUUGUCAAAUGUGUUACAAGAAUCUUCACUUCACCAUCAACAACUCUUAUUUCAUCCUCACUUAGAUAUGUUUACCAUACAUGUUUGUUUGUUUUAAUAGUUUGAUUUAGCCAAUGUUUAGGUGAUUUCAAACCAUGUGUAAAAAUUUUAUAAAUUUUAUGUUUUUCCCUUAGAUUAUAUAAAUGUUCCAUUCAUUUUCAAUUCCAAUAGUUUGGGGGGCUUGGGGGUUUUGUUUGUUUUUUCUUUUUUUUUGGUACCAGGGAUUGAACCCAGGGGCACUUAACCACGGAGCCACAUCCUUAGCCCUAUUUAUUUUUUUUUAAUUUUGAGACGGGAUCUCGCUAAGUUGCUUAGGGCUUUGCUGUGUUGCUGAGGCUGAUUUUGAACUUGCCAUCCUCCUGCUUCAGCCUCUCAUGUCAUUAGUACUGUUCUUAGAAAAAUGUUUAAUCUUUGAUUCUAAAUAAAAGACUAUUAAUAUAGUAGAAGUACCCUUUAACUGUCAUCACCAGGCCCAUCUCUCUCAGGUCCCACUCUACCCAAGAAGCAUCCAUUAUUAUAAGUUAACUCUUACAUGUAUGUACUUGAUGAAUUUUUACAUUUAAAUGGCAUAUUGUAAACUUUAAAAUAAGAAUUUUAUUCCCCACCUAUUUUUCAUAUCUAGUUAAAAUAAUUUUAAGAUUUUUAUAUGCUGCUAUAUAUAUUUAGUAUUUUGUACAAUAUUCCACUAUAUGAAUACAAAAUAUUUAUGUUUUUAUUGCCUAGGAUAUGGGCAUUUAUACCUAGGUCUUAUAUUUUGCUGUUAUAAGCAGUACUGUAAUGAACAUCCUUGUGGGAGUCUUCCUUGAGCAUGUAUGAGAGAUUCUAUAGGUAGCCUUUCCAGUAAAUAUAUGACUCAGGGAAAAGCCUCAUCGAAGAGGACCCAGCAGGAAUCAGGCUUCAACUUAACAUUCAAGGGAAAUGUCGGAUUUUUUUAAUUUAAUGAUAUUAAUGAGGAAAAAAAAUUUUAAUAUAGUCUUAUCUACCACCAAUCCCCAUAGAUUUAAGGUUUUUAAUAGAAAGCCAUGAUGUAUGUAUUUAAGCCAGGUUUUAAAAAAAAAAAAAGUGUAACUAACUAUGGGCAAGUAUUCAAUGAAUACAGCUUCAUAGUUUUAAUUCUUUGUAAGCACACAAAAAAUAGUGUGCUGAAAAACCCCAAGUAAAUUAACUCCUUUUUUCCCUAUAAGUCCCUUUUUGUUUUGAAGAGGGGAAAUUAUAUUUAUUGUUGUUUACUGAAUCCUUGUGUGGAAGCGUAUCAAAUAUGUGUGAACUGCUACUGCUGUACUUAGGAUUUACAAACAUUAUUUUAUUGCUCUUUGUAGAAGUGAUAACAUAAACAUGAGUAUUUAUGUGAGCCUUAGUGGAUAUGCAAGUGCCACUGAGAGAUCUCUGGGUGUUUUCCUCUCUAAUUUUAAGUAAAUUGACAGAACUACUAUGCUAUAAAAAUGAAGUCAGGAAAACAAGUAGUUCUGUUUGCUUACUAGUAAAAACAUUUUCAAGGGAAAAGUGACAAAAGUGCUUUUUACUUUUUAUGAUAUUCAGAAAUUAGGGUGGAGAACUUUUAAAAACCUUAAGAUCAGUGAUGCUGUAGCCAAUUAUAAGUUUGAUUGGCAUCAUUCUGGAUCUGACUGGAGCCCUCACAGAACUGUUUCUCUAACUUCACAAGCCUUUCCAAAGUAGUACAUGGUCAGAACUAUGCCUCCGUUUAUUUAUCAUUUUGAAAUAAAAUCAAAAUUUCCACCUGUAA